UCUUCCCUAGGAUCUCUCUUCAGUCAUUUGAGAAAAAUUAUCCCAUUCUUUUCCUCACUCACUACUCAAAUAAACUAAUCCUCAUCUCUUCAACCUAAGAACAAUAAAAUGCCAUUCCCCAGUCUUACCACCCUCCAGUGUCUAAUUAGGUAAAGAGGGUGCCUUAUGUAAAAUUUCUUCAACUCAAUAAUACACUCAAAACUUAGUAAGUUGAUAAAUUCACUCCUCUUCAGCCUAUAGGUAUUUACACGAGCCAAAACAUCUCUCUCACUGUUCAGUUGUCAAGAAAAUAUAUUAAUGCCUCUAAAUCAAGAACAAAAAUAAAAUCACUCAGAAAUAAAGUUUAACAUUUCAUAUUUUUGGCACUUAAAAUAUUCUUCUAUUUGUGCUAUCCUAACAUGAGCAUAUGACUUGCAAAGUAAGGUAGCCAUAAAUCAGGCUACUAUAACACCCCUCCUCACAGAUAUUUGUCAGGAAAAAGAAUUAGUAUACUGGCUAAAGGAACACUAAUAAAGUAGUGCAUUUCAUUUCAUUUGGUCCUUAUUUAACAACGGCACAAAAGACAAAGAAAAUUAGAAUUAUCAUUAUCCUGUAACCAGCCCUACUGAUGAAACACAUUUCUUGCUGCUGGCAAAACUCCUGGACCCAAUCUUUAUUUUUUAACCUAUUGAUCCUUUUCCAUCAGUGACAGACUUGUUCUGCCAUAAGAGUUGGGUUUCCAAAUUGGCCUUAAGGAGGCAUGUGGGUUAGAAACAAUAUUGUCAUUCGCCUAGUUUUGGCAGGAUUGGUGGAAAAUCAGACAACUGUUAUGUUUUGGAGUUGUGGGCUAAUAGUGCCCUCUGUUUUCCAUUUUUGCUCCCAUCAACAGAAUUACCAGAUGGCCAAGAAGCCACUAGAAUAGAAGUAAUGUUCCAAUAUAGUGGAAAAAGACCAACCCCAUAAACACUCUAACAUCUAUCCAGUGGUUUGAAAUAGCAAUUUAAAUGUUGAAAGGUGAAGAGAAAAAAAAAAAAAAAGAAAGAAAAGAAAAGAAAAAAGCAAAAACUCUGUAACAGGCAGUGCUUUCACCAUCAUAUCUUGCCUUUUAGAGCAACAAAUUCAUUACAUAUUCCAGCACUCUCAGAAUAUCACACCCAUCCUCCCAAAUGUCAGACCUUAUAGCUCAGAGAACCACAAUGACCUGAAAGAUUUGUAAGAUGCCUCCUAAGUCCCCACAGUGGGUCCACAGUGAAGCACAGGAAAGUUUUAAAAAUCUUUCCAGGUGAUUCUGAUGGUCACAGUGGCGAAUGAUUUAGAAGAGUCUCAGGUCUACCUAAAGGAAAAAUUUUCAAGUGAGGGUGCUGAACAGGGAAGUCAUCAGUUGGGUAGCAUGUCAGUUUACAUACAUCCUCUGCUCCUACCUCCCAAUUUCUUCUGUGUCCCCCAGUGAAGAGAAGUAUAGUACCCAGGGUGACUGUGGUCCCCAAGUUGAAAACCAAUGCUCUUUGGAAUGACAAGUCAGGGAACUGCCUGAAGAAACAACAACAACAACAACAACAAACAUUCCUUUCUGAAAGUGUGGACAUGUAGAACUAGUAGAAUUCAAUCAUAAAACCACUGUCUUCUUCACUACUGCCCUUGGUUUUGGUUCAUUCCAUGGAGCUGAUUCUUCCCUUCUGCCUGUAAGAAAUUCUGGGAAGAUGGAACUGGGUUUUCCAGGAAUUCUCAGAUAACAAAGUAAUUUUGUCUGGAAAAGUCUCAUUUUAUAAUUAAGAAUCAAUUCAAAACUACAGUGCUUAAUGUGAAAAUUUUCUUCCUUCCCCAUUUCAACCUGCACUCCCAGUUUGGGCCUGCACAUUCAACUUUUUCUCAAUUUCCUUUCUUGCUUCCCCCCACCCUUCCCCCACUCUGUGGGCUUCCCUUUCUCCAUGAAAGACUGAAGGUGGGACUGGGGUCAGGAGAGGGAAGGGAAAAAAAACUAAGGAUACAGAGAAAAAUGCCUUGCUUGACCAAAACUGAUUUCAAUCUGACACGGAUGCUGAUUCAUAAAACUGACUCUCACCCCUGAGAUGUAAGGGAAGUUUCCUUGGAGGCCCCUGCUCUCACUGAGACUGCUUACCUGAAGAACUAGAAGGAUUCAUUUACUCAGGUUCAUGACUCACAAUUCCUCCCUCCAGCUCCUGACUUCCACCACAUGCCUGUAGCCUUUCUUGGACGAGCUUCCCCUGCCUUCUCAACCUCAAAGUACCUGGGCAGUACCUAAGGCAUUUUGAGGCCAGCUUUCUUUCUCACAUGUGGCCCACCUUUAAUGCAUGGAAAAGACUCAUGUGUCAGUCCCCGUCCCGCCAUCAAGACAGGAAACUCUAGCCAGAGCAUCUUAUUUUUAGGUUCUUCAAGCUUGUCUCAGACACCAGUCAACUGUGUCUCCCAAACAGUAGAGAACAGUAUCAGGAUAUCCACUUUACCCCUUUGAAGCCCAUUUUGCUUGACUUGAGGCUUAGAAGAAGCCUUUCAUUCAGUCCAUCUGAAUGAUGUAAGAGAGGGGCGCCUGGGUGGCGCAGUCGGUUAAGCAUCCGACUUCAGCCAGGUCACGAUCUCGCGGUCCGUGGGUUCGAGCCCCGCGUCGGGCUCUGGGCUGAUGGCUCAGAGCCUGGAGCCUGCUUCCGAUUCUGUGUCUCCCUCUCUCUCUGCCCCUCCCCCGUUCAUGCUCUGUCUCUCUCUGUCCCAAAAAUAAAUAAAAACGUUAAAAAAAAAAAUGAAUGAUGUAAGAGAAUGAGCAGCAUACUAAAAACUCUCUCUAAAAAAAUCCUCUCAUAUCUCCAACCACCUCCUCUUGAUCCCUCCAACUUCCUUGGGAGAUUGGAGGUGGACGCUCUGUAAAAUCAGUUCAUAGCUACCAUCUUCUCAAAAUGUGUUUAAGUGAUCUUGCACUCACCCUUGGCAUGCAGUGUUUCUAUUGUCUUCAGGCCUUAGAUGAAAAAGGGUUUAAAGAGUCCCAUUUUGCAACUGGGUAGCUAAAAUCCUAGUCCUUUAGACUGCCAAACUGAGAAGGGCAAUGGAUUUCCAUUAGAGGAUCUGAACAUGCCCUGCAUUCAGUUGGCUCUUUGACAUUUAAAGUCUGGGCAUACUGGCAGGUCCCAUUUGCCAAGGAGCAAUUACUUCUGUAGUAAUUAGGUCUGAAAUGAUGUUUCCUCUUUGAAUCAAAAGCAGUUAUCUGCACAAGAUAACAUUCAACCAGUGCAGACACAGAAAGUAAAUAAACAACCAAUGUUUCUUCAACCAGGCAUAGCACUGAAUUUCAUAGCAGAUAAAGAUUCUGAGAGUAUUAAACAUUAUAAGACUAUAAUCAUAAGGAUACCAAAGACAUUUAUUAAUUAAAGCCAAAAUCUGGAAACAUACAGUGAAGCUAUUAUUUAUAUUAUAAUAGAAAAGGAACAGAAGGGAAAAGGAGGAGAAAAGAAAAAAUCCUAAAUGAAAAGCGAAAUUAUAAAAAUUUAGAUAAACCAAGUAUUCUAAAGAUCAACUAGUUUAAUUCUUAUUUUAUAAAACAGUAACAAUAGUAAUAGGCAGCCCUAAUGAGUAUUUAUUGUGUUUCAAGUACUUUAUAUAUGUUAUUUCACUUAAUCAUAUGAAAGGCUGUGGUAGAUUUGAUUAUUGUUCUUUUUUUAAAGUUAAUUUAUUUAUUCUUUAUGGGGGAGGGGGGGAGAGGAGCAGAAAGAGAGUAAGAGAGAGAAUCCCAAGAGGGUUCCACAGUGUCAGCGCAUGAGCCUGAUGCAGUGCUCAACCCCACGAACCACAGGAUCAUGACUUGAGCUGAAACCAAGAGUUGGAGGCUUAACCAACUGAGUCACCCAUGUGUCCCUUGAUGAUCUUGGGUCUUCACUCUCUCCCUCUCCCUGCUAUGGAACCUUAUGAUGCACUGUAAGGGGAAAGUAUAAUUUUCCCCCUCAUCCCCACAUUGAUACCGGGCUUUGCCACGUGACUUGCUUUGACUAAUUUGUUAUUAGCACAGGUAACACAAGUAGAGGAAUUAUGUAUGUUUGUAUGAUUUGACUUGUCACCUUGUAUUCUUGAUAUCAUUGCUGGUACAGGGAGAAUUAAAAAACAUAAAAAUGGAAGGAAAACUUCCAAAGUCUUUCUAUGAAGCCAGCAUUACCUUGAUUCCAAAACCAGACAAAGACACCCCUAAAAGGGAGAACUAUAGACCAAUUUCGCUGAUGAACAUGGAUGCAAAAAUCCUCAACAAGAUACUAGCCAACAGGAUCCAACAAUACAUUAAAAGAAUUAUUCAUCACGAGCAAGUGGGAUUUAUACCUGGAAUGCAGGCUGGUUCAGUAUCUGCAAAACAAUCAAUGUGAUUCAUCACAUUCAUAAAAGAAAGGACAAAACCACAUGAUCCUCUCAAUAGUUGCAGAGAAAGCAUUUGACAAAAUACAGCAUCCUUUCUUGAUAAAAACCCUCAAGGAAGAAGGGAUAGAAGGAUUAUACCUCAAGAUCAUAAACUCCAUAUAUGAAACACCCACUGCUAAUAUCAUCCUCAGUGGGGAAAAACUGAGAGCCUUCCCCCUAAGGUCAGAAACACAAUAGGGAUUUCCACUCUCACCAUUGUUAUUGAACAUAGUAUUGGAAGUCUUAGCCUCAGCAAUCACACAACACAAAGGAAUAAAGACAUCUAAAUUGGCUAGGAGGAAGGCAAACUUUCACUCUUCUCAGAUGACAUUAUACUCUGGAAAACCCAAAAGAUUCCACCAAAAAACUGCUGCUAGAACUGAUCCAUGAAUUCAGCAAAGUUGCAGGAUAUAAAAUCAAUGCACAGAAAUUGGUUGCAUUCCUAUAUACCAAUAAUGAAGCAACAGGAAGAGAAAUCAAGGAAUUGAUCCCAUUUACAAUUGCACCAAAAACCAUAAAGUACCUAGGAAUAAACAUAAGCAAAGAGGUGAAAAAUCUAAACACUGAAAACUAUAGAAAGCUUAUGAAAGACAUUGAAGAAGACACAAAAAAAUGGAAAAGAUAUUCCAUACUCUUGGAUAGGAAGAACAAACAUUGUUAAAAUGUUGAUACUACCCAAAGCAAUAUACAUAUUCAAUGCAAUACCUAUCAAAAUGACACCAGCAUUCUUCACAGAGCUAGAACAAAUAAUCCUAAAAUUUGUAUGGAACCAGAAAAGACCCAAAUAGCCAAAGCAAUCUUGAAAAAGAAAACCGAAGCUGGAGGCAUCACACUCCCGGACUUCAAGCUGUAGUACAAAGCUGUAAUCAUCAAGACAGUAUGGCACUGGCACAGAAACAGACACUCAGAGGUCAUCUGGGUGGUUCAGUCAGUUAAGCUUCCAACUUUGGCUCAAGUCCUGAUCUCACAGUUGGUGAGUUCAAACCCCACAUUGGGCUCUGUGCUGACAGCUCAGAGCCUGGAGCCUGCUUCAGAUUCUGUUUCUCCCUCUCUCUCUGCCCCUCCCCUGCUUGUGCUCUGUCUCUCUCUGUCUCCCAAAAAUGAAUAAACAUUAAAAAUUAAAAAAAAAACAGACACUCAGAUCAAUGGAACAGAACAUAGAACCUAGAAAUGGACCCACAAACAUAUGGCCAACUAAUCUUUGACAAAGCAGGAAAGAAUAGCCAAUGGAAUAAAGACAAUCUCUUCAGCAAACGGUGCUGGGAAAACUGGACAGCGACACGCAGAAGAAUGAACCUGGACCACUUUCUUACACCAUUCACAAAAAUAAACUCAAAAUGGAUGAAAGACCUCAAUGUAAGACAGGAAGCCAUCAAAAUCCUCGAGGAGAAAGCAGGCAAAAACCUCUUUAACCUUGGCCACAGCAACUUCUUACUCAACACGUCUCUGGAGGCAAGGGAAAUAAAAGCAAAAAUGAACUAUUGAGACCUCAUGAAAAUAAAAAGCUUCUGCACAGCGAAGGAAACAAUCAGCAAAACUAAAAGGCAGCCAACAGAAUGGGAGAAGAUAUUUGUAAAUGACAUAUCAAAUAAAGGGUUAGUAUCCAAAACGUAUAAAAAACUUAUCAAACCCAAUACCCAAAAAAACAAAUAAUCCAGUGAAGAAAUGGGAAAAAGACAUGAAUAGACGCUUCUCCAAAGAAGACAUUCAGAUGGCCAACCAACACAUGAAAAAAUGCUCCACAUCACUCAUCAUCAGCGAAAUACAAAUCAAAACCACAAUGAGAUACCACCUCACACCUGUCAGAAUGGCUAACAUUACCAACUCAGGCAACAAUAGAUGUUGGCAAGGAUGUGGAGAAAGAGGAUCUCUUUUGCACUGCUGGUGGGAAUGAAAACUGGUGCAGCCACUCUGGAAAAUGGUAUGGAGGUUCCUCAAAAAAUUAAAAACAGAACUACCUUACAACCUAGGAAUUGCACUACUAGGUAUUUAUCCAAGGGAUACAGGUGUGCUGUUUCAAAGGGGCACAUGCACCCCAAUGUUUAUAGCAGCACUAUUAACAAUAGCCAAAGUAUUGGGGUGCCUGGGUGGCUCAGUCGGUUAAGCAUCCGACUUCAGCUCAGGUCAUGAUCUCGCAGUCCAUGAGUUCGAGCCCCACAUCAGGCUCUGUGCUGACAGCUAGGAGCCUGGAGCCUGCUUCAGAUUCUAUGUCUCCCUCUCUCUCUGCCCCUCCCCUGCUCACACUCUGUCUCUUUCUCUCUCUCAAAAAUAAAUAAACAUUUAAAGAAAUUUAAAAAAAAACACACAACAAACAAUAGCCAAAGUAUGGGAAGACCCCAAAUGGCCACCAAUGGAUGAAUGGAUAAAGAAGAUGUGGUAUAUAUAUAUAUAAUAUAUUAUAUUAGUCAGAGAAAGACAAGUAUCAUAUGACUUCACUCAUAUGAAGAAUUUAAGAUACAAAACAGAUGAACAUAAGAGAAGAGAAGCAAAAAUAAUAUAAAAACAGGGAUGGGGACAAAACAUAAAGGACUCUUCAAUAUAGAGAACAAACAGAGGGUUACUGGAUGGGUUGUGGAAGGGGGAAUGGGCUAAAUGGGUACAGGGCAUUACGGAAUCUACUCCUGAAAUCAUUGUUGCACCAUAUGCUACCUAAGUUGGAUGUAAGUUAAACAAUAAAUUAGAUAUACAUCUUUACUGAAAGUCAUAAUAUUUUACUGAAAGGAAUAAACUAUAAAUAAAUGAGAGAGGUACCACUUUCAUGGGUUAUAUAAACAUGUGUAUAUAUUGCAACCAUGUUGACUAUCACUAAUAUGUUCUAUAUAUUCAAUUUAGUUCCAUUCACCAUCCAAUAAGGUUUUAUGAGACAUUAAAAGCUAUUUUAAAAAUCAUAUGUAGAUUAGUGAACGGAUAGUUAUGUGACAGAACAAUAUAGUAAAAUGUUCGUUGUAGCAUCUAAGUAGUGGGUUCACCAAUGUUAGCUUACUAUACAAUUCUUUCAACUUCUUUUCAUUUGUGAAGCUUUUCAUAAUGAAAUAUUGAGGAGAAAUCAUAUGGAAAGAUCAAGGGCUAGAAUAGAUCAGACAUUUGAAAAGGAAGAACCAGGUGCUUUACCAUAUAAGAAAAGUUUGAAUAGAAGUGAUAAUAAUUGGGAAGCCUGCAUGUCUCAGUCGGUUAAGUGUCCUACUGUUGGUUUCUGCUCAGGUCAUGAUCUUAUGGUUUGUGGGUUCGAUCCCUGCAUCGAGUUCUGCACUGUCAGAUCUGCUUCAGAUCCUCUGUCUCCCUCUCUCUGUCCUUACAUUCUCGUGCGUGCUCUCUCUCAAAAAUAAAUAAACAUUAAAAAAAAGAAGUUAAAAUAAUUACGAAAGGGUGGCAGUUUGAGAAUAGAAAAGUGCAAAAUGGAAUAUAGUAGAAUGCAGACAUUUAUGCCAGAUCUGACAUUAUUGAUCUUAGGGAAAGGAUGGGCCAUUCAAUAAACGGUGCUAGGAAAAUUGGCUAUGCAUAUUAAAAAUUAUAAGAAUAUUAGGGACAAAACUUUAAAACUUAUUUCAAAAAAGUAAAUACAUCUUCUAAAUAUCUUUGUAAACGGGAAAGUUUUUAAUGACAAAAAAGCAUAACCCAUAAAGGAAAAGAGAAAUGUAAUGUAUCAUAAGAUAAAUUUUAUUACAUUAAAAUUAAAAAGUACCUGGGGUGCCUGGGUGGCUCAGUCGGUUGAACAUCCGACUUCGGCUCAGGUCAUGAUCUCACGGUUUGUGGGUUCAAGCCCCGCGUCGGGCUCUGUGCUGUCGGCUCGGAGCCUGGAGCCUGCUUCAAUUCUGUGUCUCCCUCUCUCUCUGCCCCUUCCCCGCUCAUGAUCUGUCUCUCUCUGUCUCUCAAAAAUGAAUAAACGUUAAAAAAAUUUUUUUAAUAAAAAAUAAAAAGAAAGAGAAAGAAAGAAAGAAAGAAAGAAAGAAAGAAAGAAAGAAAGAAAAUUAAAAAGUACUGUUCAACAAAACAUGGCAUUAAGGGAGUAAAAUAUUGAGGUACCUGGCUGGCUUAAUUAGAAGAGUAUGCAACUCUUGAUUUCAGGGCCAUGAGUUUGAGCCUGUGUGGGUGUAGAGAUUACUUAAAUAAAUAAACUUUAAAAAAAGAGAGAAUAAAAGAUAAUUCCACAAUCUGAAAACAGUUACUUUUCAACUCCUAUACCUCAGUAAUAUCCAUAUUCUAUAAGGAAAUUGUGUAAGUCUUUGAGGAAAACGACAAACAACCUUAUGGAAAAAAUGGACAAAAGACACAAACAGGCAUCUCACAAGAAACAAAGUACAAAUAGACCAUAUGUAUACUAAAACACGUUCAAACCAUUAGUUAUAGAGGGAAUACAAAUUAAAACCACAAUGAAAUGUUUUAAUUGGGCAAUAUGUAUGUGAAUGUUUAUUUUGUUAAUGUUUUUAAACUGUACACAUAUAUACAAUUUGCUAUAUGAUUUUAUGAUACCUGUCUCUUAAACAAAUAUAUUAAACAUAUAUGUCUUAAACAAAAAUUUAAAGUGGAAAAGAAUGUUGAAAGCCUAAUACGGAAGUAAAAAUCUAAAAAUCUCAUCAAGACGGAAAAAGAUAAGCAAACUCCAUUGGAAAUCUUAAACAUUUCAGUACCCUUCGACUUCAACAGAAAUAAGGCAAAACAAAGGUGCCACUGGUUUAUAAUAUACUUUAGUAACUUUCCUAAACAUUCCAUAAAAUAUAAUCUAGAAGCUUAAAAACCACAUAGGAAUUGAUGAAGUCUUAUUUAUUACUGUACUGUCAUCAAAAUUUAUGAAUUGUGGUUAAGUAUAUCUCUGUCCUAGGAAAGAGAGCAAAGGAUGGAAACUAUGAGCAAAUAUCUCUUUUUUUCCUUCCUUUCCUUCUCCCUCUUUUUGUCCCUCCCUCCUUCCUUCUCUUACUUCCUUCUCCUUCUCUCCCUCCUUCCUUCCAUCCUUUCUGUCUCCUUCUGUAUUCAUUUUCCAUUAUUGCAGAACAAAUUACAAAAAAACAAAACACAAAAAAAAAUUAGCAGUUUAAAAUAAAACAAAAAAAAUUAAUUAGUUCAAGGUUUCUGUGGGUCAGGAGUUUGGUGGCAGAUUAACUGUAUGCUCAGGGUCUAACCAAGCUGAAAACAAGGUGUGGCCAGGGCUAGGAUUCUCUUCCAAGCUCAUUCAGAUUGUUGGCCAAAUUCAGUUCCUUGUGGUUGUAGGACUGAGGUCCCAGCAUUCUUGCCGAGUAUGGGUUGAGGGGUCACUGUCAGCUCGUAAAGGCUGCCCUCAGGUUCUAACUACAUGGUGCUCCUUCAACAAGCAGCUUACUUCUUCAAAGUCAGUGGGAGAAUCUCUCUCAUGCUUCAAAUCUCUCUUGACUUCUUUUAAGGGUUUGCCUGAUUAUGUCAGGCCCUCCUAGGAUAAUCUCUGUUUUGAUUAACAGAAAUUCAGCUGACUAGAGACUUUAAUUACAGCUGGAAACCACAAAUUAUUUAAGAUCUCUGAAACAGAGUGACAGGUGGCAAGUGGGAGAAAGCUAAAGAUAUAGAGGCUAAGUCACACAGGACUUUGUAAGCCAUAUAUGGAAUGUGGCCGUUGUCCUAGCAACAGUUAGAAAUCACUGAAGGAGUGAAGGUUUUUAAGAACAAAAAUGUUAGAAUGGAAGGGUCAGAUCUGCAUUUUAAAAGGAUGGCUCUAGGGAGGAGUAAGAAGGAGAAAAAGGGCAAUUGACUUGAGCAAGUAUUUGUGGGAUGAAGAGAGAACAUGUGGCAAAAAAUAAGUCUAGAAGCUAUUCCAAAACACUAUGGCGUGCUCUCAGAAAUUCUUUAGUUUGAAAAAAUUAUGUAGCAUUUAUUCCAUGCCCACGAACAAAGCAUGUAACCAAAAAAAAAAAAAAAAAAGAAAAGAGAAGAAAAGAAAAAAAUUAUGCCCCUUCUCCUCUAGCUUACUACAGAUAUGCACACAUGACUUUUGAUAAAAUAGUUGAGAGAGAGAAAAAGGCAAAGUGCAAAAGAGAAUAAAAUUUAGGGACGAAGUUUAGCACAUUCCAAUUCACACCAUGUCUUCAUCUAUUGUUGCCAGGUAGAGUAAAAUUUCAUUCUUAAAUGUCCUUGAAGUCAAGGUAUGCAGGAAACGUGGUCAGUUACAAAUGUCAUUGUAUCCACAGGAUAAACUGCUCAGGAGAAGAAUAAACAUGCCUGAUGGCAAGCUUGAGCAAAACUUUUCCCAAGGAUCCUCUGUUAUUUUAAGUAAUACACAAAGCAUUGAAAGAGGUAAAAAUGGAAGAGUGACCAGUGCACAGCUGGGUUUGCCAAAAAAGGUCUCCUGAUGAAGGAAAGAGACUAUGUCCCUACAGAGAGAAGAGGUAAAUCCUACUAAUAAAUUUAUAUCCAUAAGCAGCAUUCGACUGCUUCUUAUUCGAUUUGUCAAAGUGCUUAUUUUGUGAUUGGAGCAUCCCAUGUGUAUAAUAAAUUGCUAACUUCAUCUCUGACUGAUUUGUAAAUCUUGGUCCUUUUCAGGGAUUAACUACUUGCUAAAUUCAUUUAUCAAAAUUAAAACUAGGUUUUCAGUAUGCUGCCCUCCAAAUCCCAAGAAACUGUGAAAGAUUAACCUUUUGCAGAUCCUUCCAGACUGAACACCAGUGGGUGACAUCAAUGCAAGUGAUUAAUAGGCACUAUCUAAGGUCUGGGGGAGAUGCUGACAGACAUUCCCCAUGGUGACAGCAUAAGUCAUCUCAUAAUCAACCUAAGAAAACACACACUCCGAUACUCUCCACACUAAUGUAACAUCUCCAAUUCAUAUCAGAAUAUCCAUAGGCAUUCUAUUUUGUACUAAUACCAGAGGUUUUUAGAAGUAUAUCAGACCUCCUUGAUGCUGUAAAACAAUUCAUUAGCUCACUUUUUUUAAUUAUUCUAGAAGAAUCAGUAGCAGCAGCAGAAUGAAACAUCAAAUCCAGAAUGAAUUAGUCAUAGCUUCUCUGUGAUGCCAUUCUGAAAAAAGGACACUGGCUAACAUUUUUGUAUCCCACUGACCCUGAACCAUUUGAGUUGUGUAGUCUAUGUAUUCAUCGUAGAGAAGCACACUCCUCUUCUGGCUUCUUUCUCCCUUGUCUAUUUACAGCCUGCGGUGCUAUCUUGGGGCCUUAGAGGCAUUUCAUCCGAAUAUCCACAUUCACACAAAAUGUUCCAACACCUUCCCAGUACAAUCCUUGACAUUUUCUCUUCCCUCCCUGAGAGGCGCAUGCUGUGAGCCUGCUUCUUCUUGCAUGUGAAAUGGCAGCUGGGCUCGUUAAUGGUUCCCUCAGAUCCUCUACCUCCUUUAUUCCUCUAAACAAACUCUUUGCCUCAGUUCACAACAGGUCUGAUGAUAUCCUAAAUAAAGUGCCACCAAUACUUUGCUUCCCACUAAAAGGUACAGGUUAGACCCAGUUGGAGAUAUAAAACGGCAUGUGCCCUAUCAAAGUAUUCCCAGAUUCCCUUAAUUACACGUCAUGGAAUUAUUCCCUUUGAAUCCUCCAAACCAGUUGUGAGUGAUCUUUUUUUUCCCCCUUGGGGGUACAGUAUAUUUUACAGUAUAAUCACUUGGGUGCAGAUCAUACAGGUUAUGCUAACUCCAUUCAUUUUACAAGCAUCUGUGAAAGCUAGCAUUACUGAGCAAGUAAGGUUACCAUGCACUGUGUGAAGUGAUUUGUAUGCAUUAUUUCCACCAAACUUUACAAUUCUGUGAGAUAUAUUCAAUUACCAAUAUCCAUUUAAACAUGAGGGGACUGAGGCACUGGAAGUGUAUGUAACUUGCCCAACGUCACAUAGCUAGUGAGUGGCCAGACCAGUAGUCAGACCCUGGCCUGCCUGGUCCAGAGCUCUGGCCUUCUGAUUCACCACCUGGGUGAAGCUCCACAGUAGGUCCUAGAAUCACAUGGAUGGGUGAGACACACAGAAGCAGAAAACAAUAUUUCUGCCACACCUCCACCUGGGGUUUUAAUUCCAAGGAAAACAUGCUAGAAGCUAUUACAGAACGAAGAACAGUGUGGUGGUCCAGCAUGGAGGAUGGAAUAGAUAACUCAACCUGAAAGACUGAAGAAAGCUUCCUGAGAUGGAUGAGAUUCAAGCUGUAAACAUGAUGAACAAUAUUCAAGGCAGAGGAAUAGGCAAUGAUCUAAAGUACAGUGUUAGAAGAAGGCACAUACUAGCAAAGUCAAGAAGCUGGACAUGACAUCAGUAGAGUGGGCAGUGACAGGAGACUAAAAAGGUUAAGUUGGGCCUUAGUUGCCAUGCUAAAAAGUUUGGAUAUUAUUUUUCAGGUAGGGGAGCCCAUUGUUUUUAAGGAAAAAAAAAAAGCAUUAUUAAUGCUGACUUUUAUUUUAAGGAAUAUUAGCCAAGCGGAAAUACGGAUAAUGGAGGAGGCAGUGGAAAGACUAGAAACAAAGGCAGGAUAACAGUAAAAAGGAGAAUGUAGAGAAGGCCUGAGCCAGACCAGUGGCAGCACCAGUGGAAAGGCCAGAACAAGAUACAUUUAAAAAUUUCUCCACAUUAUUUGCCAUCAUCUUUUACACCAUGUAUUUACUUAAUGAUUUGUGUAUUUUCUGUCUCCUACUGAGUUGUAAAUUCCAUAAGAGCAGGGAUUUUUGCUGAUCCCUGUUGCCUAAGACAGUUUACCACAGAACCUCCAUGGGCAUAUUUAGAAUAAAUGAAGUAAAUUUAAAAGACUUUAAGAAUUGAUUGGAUUUAAUAGAUGAGAAUGUUAGAUGACUAAAAUUUCAAGCUUAGAAAACUGAAUGGAUGGUGACAGAGAUCAAGAAUUCACAAGACAGAAUAGUUCUGAAGCGGCUGCAGAAUUCGAGAUUGAUAGAUGUGCAGGCCAUUUAAAGUUGGAGACUGGAGCACAAGAGAAAAAUUGAAACUACUUUUAGAGAGUCUGGAGGCAUCAGUAUAGAAUUAGAAAUGGCGAUGAAGCUAUGGAAAUGGAUAAAACCAGGCAGAGACUAUGAGGGGUGGGAAGAGGGGAGUAGGGAAACCAUGAGCAACCACAAAAUUUAAGAGAUAGGAGAAGCCAGCCAAAGAAACAAAGAAGCAACAGUGAAAAAAACAAGAGGAGAACUGGAAGAAGAGUUGUUCCUGGAAACACCAGAAGACAGAGUCCAGAAAAGCAGACACCAGCACUUUUGGGGAUGAUCAGUUGUGCCAUUAGUUAAAAAAAGAACAUGGAAGAUGGGUCAUUUGUUUUUGACUGUUAGAAUCUCUAGAGAGAAUAGUUUGUGGAACAGAGGUGAGAACUGAAUGCAAAUUGUUGACAUUUAUAGAAGAGGUAGGAGCAGGGAUACCACUAGCUCACAGACCCCUUUGUGCACAUUAGAGGAAAGCACCAUUCCUUGCACAGGACACAUAGACUAGCAGGCAGAGCACCCCCUCCCAUGUGCCCAACACCAUCAAUUGUUUUAGGAUACUGAAACCAGAACGCAAGGACCAGUGGAAGAGUCAAUCUAAGAUGAAGGAGAAAAGAUCACCCACCACAGGGUACAGGCAGGAUGCAGAAAGAAUAUGCCUUAGAAUUUAAGGAGCACAGUAAAGGUUUGAUAUAGGAAAAUAAAAUGUAUUACGGGCAAGAAAAAUGACAAUUUGGUCUGUAUUGAUACUCAUGCCACAAAUUGUGCAGUUGUGUAAUUUUUUUCCAUUAGUGUUCAGAAGUUCAGCAACAGAAACAAAGAAAACAAGUGGUUAGCUUCAUCUUAAAAUGUUUGAGAAAAUUACAAAAUGCUUCACUACUCAUUUUAAAAAUUGACAUCAAUCAUAAAAAUCUAGACUGUAGGAAACUACAGGAAAAAGAACUUAGUUCCCUCAACAAAUAAACUGAAAGUUGAAAAAGAAAGCAAGGAACGUAUAUAGUAAAACACAUAUAUAUACAUAUAUACACACAUAUGUGUAUAUAUACAUACAUAUAUACAUAUAUGCACAUAUGUGUACAUACAUAUAUACAUAUAUACACAUAUGUGUGUAUAUACACAUACACAUAUAUGUGUAUAUAUGUAUAUAUAUGAAAAGAUAUAUAUAUAUGAAAAGAAAUCAACCAAUUACAAUGUAUGUACUUUAUUUGAAUACUGAUUCCAACAGACAAAUUUUUAAAUAAUAUUUAAAAAUCUGCAGUGGGGGAGGCAUUGGAAAUUUGAACAUUAAUUGAAUUUUGUAAUAUUAAGGAAUUGUUAACAUUUUUGAAGUAACAGUGCCAACAGUAUUGGCAUUGAUGUUUUGUUUAAAGAGUCCCCAUGUAUGAAAGAUAUAUACAUAUAUGUUUACAGAUGAACUCAUUACCGAACUGGAGCUUGCUUCAAAAUAAUUUGCAAAGCAGUGAAGUGGGUGGAGAUACAGGUAAAAUAAGAUUAGCCAUGAGUUAACUUUGCAUAAGGAAAAUAGGUACUUAGGGAUUCAUUAUACCAUUCUGUGCCCUUCAUACAGGUUUCCAUUGUUCUACGAUAUCCUUUGUUUAAUUUCAUGACAAAGUUCUAUUCAGUGAAUAAUGGAAAAAUUGCAUCACUGCUAAUGAUGGCCAGUUAAGGAGGAUACAGAUAAGGGAGGAUAUAUAAAGCAGAAAGAGGCAGAAAAAUUAAAAGGACUGAAACUCAGAGAAAAAAAGGCAUAAAUAUAAACAGAAAAAGAGGAAGCAAGGAGAGUGAAGGACAGACUUGUGAAAUGACAUUACCACCUUGUGGUCUUUUAGGAUAUUGCCCCCAAAUAUGUACACCGUGAUGUUUUUUCACACCUAUAGGCAUCUGUGGGGUUACUGUGCCUAUAACUACACCAGGUGUAACUGAGUUAAAGGCCAUCCCUAAGCUUUAGUCUGGAGGUUUCUUACUUGUGACUUAAACUUUCUUGACUCGCCUAAUAUUUUCUGAUUGUACCUCCACUCAUUGUCACAAUGAGUGACAUUUACUACAUUUACUACAUUUACUAAGCUUUAUUGUCCAAAAUGUCCCUUUUUAUAUAUUCAUGAUUAGUUCCUAAUUUGGUUUUUCAGGACUUUAUGAACAAAUCCUUGUUCACUUUAUCCAAACUCCUAAUGGUUUAAUUUUAAAACAAAGGAAAAAAAAAAAAAAAAAAGCUUUACUGAGUUACAACUGAUAUACAAAAAACUGGACAUACUUAAUGUAUACCAUUUGAUGAGCUUGAAGAUACACACACACAUGUAAAACCAUCACCACAAUCAAGGUAAUAAACAUAUUCAUCGCCUCCAUUUAUGUCAUCUUUUCAUCAUUUUGUCUCCAGCCUGACUAAUCUUAAUUUAUAACUCUUCUUUGAGCUUUCUACUCACCUUUCUCUAAUGUUUUCCAACUCCACAGAAGUUAUUUUUCUUGCAGUAUAUGACAAAGCAACAUAAUGUGUUCAUGUAUAUGGGGUGGCACCAUAAGACAAAGGAAACCAAAUGUGGAAUCAAAGGGAUUCUUUUUUCUUAAUGUUUAUUUAUUUAUUUUGAGAGAGUGUGUGUGUAAGCAGGGGAGGGGCAGAGAGAGACAGAAAGAGAGAGAAUCCUAAGCAGGAUCUGAGCGAUUAACACAGAGCCUGAAGUGGGCUUGAAUUCCUGAACCUCGAGAUCAUGACCGGAGCCAAAAUCAAGAGUCGGACACUCAACCAACUGAGCCACGCCGGUGUCCCAAAACAAAGAGAUUCUCAAGCUAAAAUGGCCCCUCAACUCAACCAGAUGACCCAUGCCAUAACACUCCACCUCUCUCACAAAUAACAGCCCAAAUAGCCCAAAUGCUAUUAUCACCUGUGUUACCUUCUAAACUCACCCUCUUCUUUGUCCACUUUCUUUCUGUGUGAGCACUUGCUCUCCUGAGUGCGUGGACUAAUGCACUAGAGUCCUAGCUGGUCUCCCUGCUUCCAGUCGGCAGCCUCUUCAAUUGACCUCCUCACUGCCUCCAGUUACUUCUCCAAAAUGCAGGUCUAACCAUGUGACUCUGUUUAAUACCUUCCAGCACUCCUCAACACCCACAAGAAAAGAAUCCUAAGUGUUGACAGCCAAUGUUUUCAUAACCCAGUUUGUGCUGCUUUCUACUCUUAUUCUUUCUGCCCUUCCCCCAACUUAUACACUCUGCUCCAGCCAUACCAGGCUGCUUGCUGUUCCCAACAAGCUGCCCAGUGCUUCCCACUUCCUUGCCUUGGCACACAUUGUUAUCCCUUUCCAAAAAUCCAUUUUUUGUUUGUCUUAACUCUGAUGCUGAGUGAACACUCAGACCUAAUAUUCAUGGCAAGCCUCACUUCCCAACUGAAUGUUUCCAUAGCUCAUUCACACUAUUACUCUUAACUCAUAGUAUUGUUAAGGAUAUGUAUACUGGUCUCUCUAAAUCCCUUCCUUUAGUCUCCUUAAACUCAAAUGUAAGGCAACCUGAAAAGUGCUAUGUAGUAGUCCUUCCUUACCCACACAGGACACGUUCCAAGAUCCCAGUGGAUGCCUAAAACUACAGAUGGUAGUAAACCCUAUAUACACUAUUUUUCCCCCAUGCCUAUAUACCUGUGCUGAAGUUUAACUUAUAAAUUAGGUGCAGUAAGAAGUUAACAAUAGCUAAUAAUAAAACAGCAAUUAUUACAAUAUACUGUAAUAAAAGUUAUGUGAAUGUGGUCUCUGUCUCUCAAAAUAUCUUAUCGGACUCACUCACCCGUCUUCUUGUGGUGAUGUGAGACGAUAAAAUGCCUAGGUGACGAGAUGAAGUGAAUGACACAGGCAUUAUGACAUAGCGUUAGGAACUAUUGACUUUGUGCCAAUUUGUCAGGAGGAUCAUCUGUUUCUGGAACGUGGUUGACCAGGGUAACUGACACAUGGAAAGCAAAACUGCGGAUAAGAGGGGAUUACUAUAUUUACUUAAGUAUUCCCAGAACUUAGCACAGUGCCCGGAAAGGCAGGGGUAUGCAGUAAAGAUUGGCUGCCUUCUACUACAGCUAUCUGCUGGAAUCUAAUCUCCAAAAUAUAGGAGGAUAAAAAUAGAGUGAGUGAAAUGAUGGGGCGCCUGGGUGGCUCAGCAUCCGACUUCAGGUCACAAUCUCAGUCUGUGAGUUUGAGUCCUGCGUGGGGCUCUGUGCUGACAACUCAGAGCCUGCAGCCUGCUUUGGAUUCUCUGUCUCCUUCUCUCUCUGCCCCUUCCUCGCUCGUGCUCUGUCUUUCUCUGUCUCUCAAAAACAAAUAAAUGUUAAAAAAAAGAUUAAAAAAUAAAAAAAUAGAGCAGGUGACCAAAGCUUUAAUGAAGAAAAGAAGAUACCAUUUGGGACUUACUGGAUUGAGUUGUGUUUUGUUUUUUUUUUUUAAAUAUGAACACUUUUUUUUAAAUGUUAAUCUUCGAGAGAGAGACAGAGACAGACAGAGUGCGAGUGGGGGGGGGGGGGUGGCACAGAGAGAGAGGGAGACACAGAAUCUGAAGCAGGCUCUAGCUCGAGGCUGUCAGCACAGAGCCCAAUGCAGGGCUCAAACUCAAGGAUCAUGACCAGAGUGAAGUUGGACGUGAAACCAACUGAGCCACCCAAGGGCCCCGGAUUGCAUAUUUUUUUAAUUCCAAUUAGCCAGUGUUGCAAGCAUUCUCAAACUCCAAAUAGGAGUAUUUGUUUAAGUCAUCUGGAAGUAAAUACAACAAAAUAUAUCAAAAAUAUGUGCAUCAUUAGACCCAGAACUCUACUCACAGGGAUUGAAAUUGGCAGUGUACACAGAUUUAGUAUUAAUACAGUUUUUUUUUUUUAAAUCAAGAAACCCAAAAUGUCCAGAAUGAGAGCUUAGCAAAGUAAAUUGUGUUAUAACCAUAGAAUGGAAUUCUAGGCAGCCAUUAAAAAUGAUAUAGUAUGAAACUGAAAAUUAUUCUCCUAGAAAGCAAAAAACAAACACUAGUUAUAAAACAACUGUGGUCAAUUGUGUGUGUGUGUGUGUGUGUGUGUUUCUAUCACGGACUAAUGCAAUAGAUUUAUGUACAUACAUACACCUAAUAACAAACACAAGAUAACCAUGCACAAUGGAAGUUUUAAAAAUAUAUAUGCCAAAAUGCAAAUCAGUUUAUAAAUAAUUUGUUGACUUCUCUAAUUCUGAUUUUUCUCCAGUGAACAGGUAUUGUCUUUAUAAUGAUAAGGGGAAAAAAAA
rnacentral:lncRNA from 1 species